CGAAGGGGGCUAGCGUUGUUCGGAUUUACUGGGCGUAAAGCGCACGUAGGCGGCUUGUUAAGUCAGGGGUGAAAUCCCGGAGCUCAACUCCGGAACUGCCUUUGAUACUGGCAAGCUCGAGUGUGGAAGAGGUUGGUGGAACUGCGAGUGUAGAGGUGAAAUUCGUAGAUAUUCGCAAGAACACCAGUGGCGAAGGCGGCCAACUGGUCCAUUACUGACGCUGAGGUGCGAAAGCGUGGGGAGCAAACAGGAUU
rnacentral:rRNA from 1 species